rnacentral:rRNA from 1 species
CCGGGGGCGGGGUGCCUACACAUGCAGUCGAGCGGACAGAUGGGAGCUUGCUCCCUGAUGUUAGCGGCGGACGGGUGAGUAACACGUGGGUAACCUGCCUGUAAGACUGGGAUAACUCCGGGAAACCGGGGCUAAUACCGGAUGGUUGUCUGAACCGCAUGGUUCAGACAUAAAAGGUGGCUUCGGCUACCACUUACAGAUGGACCCGCGGCGCAUUAGCUAGUUGGUGAGGUAACGGCUCACCAAGGCGACGAUGCGUAGCCGACCUGAGAGGGUGAUCGGCCA